rnacentral:SRP_RNA from 1 species
GCCAGGUAUGGUGGUGUGUACCUGUAGUCCUAGCUACUUGGGAGGCUGAGGUGGGAGGAUCCCUUGAGCCCAGGAGUUUGAGGUUACAGUGAGCUAUGAUCAUGCCAUUGCACUCCAGCCUGGGCAACAGAGCUAGACCCUGUCUCUU